GUGACUGAACCCGAAGUGGUGGAGGGGCUGGUUUGUGACACCAGUGUUAGCGAGUACCCUUCGGGAAGCAAGCUACGACUCUCGUCAGUCACCCCA
rnacentral:tRNA from 1 species